UACGAAGGGAGCAAGCGUUGUUCGGAUUUACUGGGCGUAAAGAGCGCGUAGGCGGUUAUGUAAGUUGGAUGUGAAAGCCCCGGGCUCAACCUGGGAACUGCAUUCAAAACUACUUGACUUGAGUAUGGAAGAGGAUGGUGGAAUUCCCGGUGUAGAGGUGAAAUUCGUAGAUAUCGGGAAGAACACCCGUGGCGAAGGCGGCCAUCUGGUCCAUAACUGACGCUGAGGCGCGAAAGCGUGGGGAGCAAACAGG
rnacentral:rRNA from 1 species